rnacentral:rRNA from 1 species
UGCAAGUCGAGCGGACAGAUGGGAGCUUGCUCCCUGAUGUUAGCGGCGGACGGGUGAGUAACACGUGGGUAACCUGCCUGUAAGACUGGGAUAACUCCGGGAAACCGGGGCUAAUACCAGAUGCUUGUUUGAACCGCAUGGUUCAAACAUAAAAGGUGGCUUCGGCUACCACCUACAGAUGGACCCGCGGCGCAUUAGCUAGUUGGUGAGGUAAUGGCUCACCAAGGCGACGAUGCGUAGCCGACCUGAGAGGGUGAUCGGCCACACUGGGACUGAGACACGGCCCAGACUCCUACGGGAGGCAGCAGUAGGGAAUCUUCCGCAAUGGACGAAAGUCUGACGGAGCAACGCCGCGUGAGUGAUGAAGGUUUUCGGAUCGUAAAGCUCUGUUGUUAGGGAAGAACAAGUACCGUUCGAAUAGGGCGGUACCUUGACGGUACCUAACCAGAAAGCCACGGCUAACUACGUGCCAGCAGCCGCGGUAAUACGUAGGUGGCAAGCGUUGUCCGGAAUUAUUGGGCGUAAAGGGCUCGCAGGCGGUUUCUUAAGUCUGAUGUGAAAGCCCCCGGCUCAACCGGGGAGGGUCAUUGGAAACUGGGGAACUUGAGUGCAGAAGAGGAGAGUGGAAUUCCACGUGUAGCGGUGAAAUGCGUAGAGAUGUGGAGGAACACCAGUGGCGAAGGCGACUCUCUGGUCUGUAACUGACGCUGAGGAGCGAAAGCGUGGGGAGCGAACAGGAUUAGAUACCCUGGUAGUCCACGCCGUAAACGAUGAGUGCUAAGUGUUAGGGGGUUUCCGCCCCUUAGUGCUGCAGCUAACGCAUUAAGCACUCCGCCUGGGGAGUACGGUCGCAAGACUGAAACUCAAAGGAAUUGACGGGGGCCCGCACAAGC